ACUUGGCAACUAAGAGCAGUAUGGCUUCUUAUAAAAACGGCAGUUUGGAAAUAGUGGCAGUCAUUGGUGAUAGACGAAUGGCAGGUGUUUGCCGGUGCGUGGUUAAUAUUAAAAACUAGAAAAAUUCAAAAACAGUUAUUCGUAUCUAAUUUUUCAAAAACAAGAUGUUUGCUGAUCGUUCUAGAUCAGCACGUUUUUCAACGUGCUUUAAGUCUAUCCAGGACAUAUCACGUUUUAUGGCGCUAUGAUACAUGCAAAGUCUAAACUGUUGUUUUACUAGAAAACUUAAUGGCCAAACCAAAAGUGUGGAAAGCAUGUCAAAGCUGCUAAACUAAUCUGUAUUUGAUGGCCAUAAUCAUCUGUCAUCCAGGAUGUUACCAGUCAAAUGAGCAGUGAUGUAUAAUGUAUUCUCAUAAGCUAGUUCAUGGACUUUCCCAAUCUAGCAACCUAAGACUGCAUUGCUCAUUUUUAUGUAUGCUCAUACCACCAGGAUCUCGGUUCACUUGGUUUCCCUUCGUCGAUCAGAAAAUGUUAACUGUUAUGUCGUCGUCGCUACAUUGACUGAGGGCUACUACUACAACAUCGAUGUAGAGAAAAUGACCUGUGCUGAUGGGACGUUCUUUUACAAUUGCCCUGCCCAGUAAUCCAUUGCUUCGUGCGACCGUCUUCGUAGUUGGAGCCAUAAGAAAGUGUAAUUGCCAUGUUUCACGUAGGCAGAGAAAGAAUGUUGAGCAUGGUUGUCUUGUGAGCUGCUUCGUGCUUAAAUUAUCCCCGUUCGACAAAGGACGCUUAUGGGCGGAGAUUUAGUCAUGGCGAAUGUAGAUUACUUCGUAAUCGUCCACUUGUGAUGAAUUGGGAACACCAGAUAUUUGACCAAACCCGUCCAGUCAAGAUUUGUGAUGUGCGAAAUAACUAGAAAGAAAAUUGGCCAAAUAAACCUCCGAAUUUGGUUGAAGCACUUUCGCUGACAGGAACGAUCCACUUCAGCGUAAAGUUUUGCAAAAUGUGGUGACUUGGGUGGGAAGAGAGUCGAAAAAACUCGGGUUGUCGGGCAUUCAUAUUUCUGAAACCAUUUAUGGCAUGGUAUAAGAAGAAAAAUGUCGUAAUUUUUGGCUACGUUUCACUGAGAUUUUCACUCGAUGAUACCGGAAAAAGGAAUUGCCAGCACAGCAAAGUACUUUGGCAACAGUGUAAUCACUGUUAUAGCAUUUCCGGUACUGAAGAUUAUAUUUCGAAAAGUGAGUUCUAUCACAGGACACUCGCUAAUUCUGCACCAACCACAAGAAAUACGGCAAUUAAUGCAUUUCUUUGGGACCUUCGUAAUGCGAGUGAGUGAAGGGACAUAACAGGUUGAUCUGGACAAAUUGGGAUGGUGGAAAGGCUAAUCGUUAUCCGUUUUAGAAGUCCAUCGAUGUGGAGCCAUCACGAUGUACAUCGGGUCAUGUCGGUUCCAACCGUUGCGACUGACCAUCAUCUCGGGUCUGGUCUAGACUCAACGGCAUAGUUGUGUAUCGUAUACGUUGAAUGCGCAAACAAACAGGACAACUGCCAUCCGAAUGUAGCCACCUAACUACUACCAGUGCACCUGUUGCCCGAGGUACUUAAGAAAUGGAACUGAAUUCGAACAUAACCGGAACACAUAGAAAUGAAGUCUAAACAAAGUUAAAAAAAAAUAUUUUUACUGCGAAAUAAAUAUUUAUAGUUGUGUUCGUUUGUACCAAAAGUGCACGGUGUGUUGUUCUGUACAAUACUCUUGUUGCCGUGUAUUCUGAGAUCGUUUUUGCAAAAUGGACGUGAGUUGUGAGCAGAUUGUCAACAAAACGUCGGGUCGCAACAAACAACACGUGAAUGCUGCUAAAUACCAUCAAUGUUUUCUAGCCCAGAUUGCGUUCGCUGUGACAAAAUGUCCUGAAAUCCUUUAUAUGUGAUCUCCGUUAUGUUGCGUCGUCUUUAUCGUUUUAAUUUCUCAUUUAUUUUCAUUUUACGGAGCGAUAAGCCUUUUAUUUCUUCUUUCAAUUACAAAUGCAGAUGAAUGGGUUGAAGGAGUGUAUAAUUAACGUGGGCUUAAAUAGUGGCAAAUGAUGUAUGUACAAACAUGGCAGGUGUCAAAAAUGGUGAAAAGUCUGUAACAAUAUUGAAAUGGAUAUAAAUAUAAACAUGUUAAUUAUUA
rnacentral:lncRNA from 1 species